rnacentral:misc_RNA from 1 species
AAGUACCAAUGCCCAGACAGGGAAAACAAAGAGAAGGACAAUGCCGAUGGUGUUCGAAAUGCCAUUCGCUUUGGUGAAGGAGUUUCGGAAUCCACCGGAGGCUCUGAUGUGUUCUUGUAGCAAAUAGCAUGAUAUGAUCAGACAGAUCGCUUCUCCGAUGGCGUCGCCUCUUAUUGUGCUUGCAAAUAAACUCGGAGCCACCACAAUGAGAAGUAUCAAAGCUCCAGGCAACUCAAGCCAAUCUGGAAAUCGUCGUGGGAAGAAGAGACGGAGAACAACAGCAAUGACGGCGACCCAUUUUCCAAACUCUCCCCUGAGAAAACGAAUAUCCUUACCUCAUUGUUGAUUCCUUACAUUUUCUUCAGUC